CAACUAUGAUAAAAACAAGCCUUAAAUUCCACCCUGAGAGUAAAAAUUGCUGAUUCAGCAAAUUUUGCCUGAUCUGUUGGUAAUAAUGUAAAAAUUUACCUAAAAAGUAGAACUUCAUUGUUUUUAUGUAACUUUCAAUACAUUUUUAAUUAUAAAGGCUCGCUUUAACUUUUCGCAGUGUCUGACACAUGUGCAACCACUGGAAUUUGAGACGCGACAUUCUUUGAUUGCAUGUACAUCCUAUUAUUUUCACCGAAAUAAAUAAAUUGCAUAAUUUCUUAUUUUUUUCAACACAAGUACAGCUAUACUAGUUUUCUUCAGGUUUUAUUUGUAGUUCUGAGGUAUCAUGACACCAGUAGGAGCAUUUUGGGAACCAGUAAGUGGUUAAGGGGUCCUUACUUAUUCAUUUAGCCCUCAUAUUUGGCUGAAAUAGAGAUAGCAAUAGGGGUUGCUUUACAUUGAAAAGACAUUAUUUUUGACAAAGAAUGUAAUUAUAAUGUUAUAUCAGCAUGAUUAAAUGGUUUAUUCAUUUUCCAUGCAAAUGCCAUUAAUUGUUAAGAUUUUCUGACAGUGAAAAGCAAAAUAAAGGCAAUUUGAUUAUGUAAGGGGACAUAAUUUAACUUAAUGCAUACAUGAGAAAUAGACAAACAGUCAACUUAGAGAUGUGUUCUAGUACAUGUAUUGUCAAAAACAUUUUAGAAUAAUAGUUAACUGUAAUCUAAAGACUCUUGUUGUAUUGCCUUUAUAAUCUGGAAAUGCUUAAAGUAAUAUAAGGCAUGCUGUAAAAUGUGGAAUGGACUUUAAUAUCAUUUUUCAUGAUUUGGUGCUUAAACUGUUUCUUUUAGUCAGAUUAACCAUAAAUAGAGUUGGCAAUCCAAUAAUUCCUCCUGAAUCACCAUGUUUGACUUCUGUGUUUUGUUGAAACAUCAUAUAUUUGGGUUUUGUGCACUCCUUAGGUUAAAAUGGUAAGAUAAAAAAAAAAGUGAAAAUCUGCCAGAUGGGGUAGGGUUGUAAUCUUUCAUUUUUUUGG
rnacentral:lncRNA from 1 species